CAGUAGCCGCGGGAAUACGUAGGGUGCAAGCGUUAAUUGGAAUUACUGGGCGUAAAGCGUGCGCAGGCGGUUAUUCAAGACAGAUGUGAAAUCCCCGGGCUCAACCUGGGAACUGCAUUUGUGACUGGAUGACUAGAGUACGGCAGAGGGGGAUGGAAUUCCGCGUGUAGCAGUGAAAUGCGUAGAUAUGCGGAGGAACACCGAUGGCGAAGGCAAUCCCCUGGGCCUGUACUGACGCUCAUGCACGAAAGCGUGGGGAGCAAACAGGAUUAGAUACCCCAGUAGUCCCUGUCUCUUAUAC
rnacentral:rRNA from 1 species